UGAAUACGAGAUGCUACGGCGUCGAAGCAGUCUAUGUCAUACUUCCAAGAAAAGCUCGCACUGUCAUAAACAAAUAAUGCCUGUACCAUAACUGACACAGGUGGGUAGGUAGAGUAUACUAAGGGGCGCGAGAUAACUCUCUCUAAGGAACUCGGCAAAAUGACUCCGUAACUUCGGGAGAAGGAGUGCCUUAUUUAUAAGGUUGCAAUAACAAGAUCCAAGCAACUGUUUAUCAAAAACACAGGUCUCCGCUAAGUCGUAAGACGAUGUAUGGGGGCUGACGCCUGCCCAGUGCCAGAAGGUUAAAGAAGUUGGUUAGCAUUCGCGAAGCUGAUAACUGAAGCCCUGGUGAACGGCGGCCGUAACUAUAACGGUCCUAAGGUAGCGAAAUUCCUUGUCGGGUAAGUUCCGACCCGCACGAAAGGCGUAAUGAUUUGGAUACUGUCUCGGAGAGGGGCUCGGUGAAAUAGACUUGUCUGUGAAGAUGCGGACUACCUGCACCAGGACAGAAAGACCCUAUGAAGCUUUACUGUAACUUGAGAUUGAAAUUGGACUUUACUUGCGCAGUAUAGGUGGGAGGCGUUGAUAAUAUUCUUGCGGGAUUAUUUGAGCCAUCAGUGAGAUACCACUCUUGUAAUGUUAGAUUUCUAACUUUGUAUCAUUAUCUGGUCAAAGGACAGUUUCAGGCGGGCAGUUUGACUGGGGCGGUCGCCUCCUAAACGGUAACGGAGGCGCACAAAGGUUUCCUCUGAACGGGUAGAAAUCGUAUCUAGAGUGUAAAGGCAUAAGGAAGCUUGACUGUGAGACCUACAAGUCGAGCAGGGACGAAAGUCGGUCUUAGUGAUCUGACGGUGCUGAGUGGAAAGGCCGUCACUCAACGGAUAAAAGUUACUCUAAGGAUAACAGGCUGAUCUCCCCCAAGAGUUCACAUCGACGGGGAGGUUUGGCACCUCGAUGUCGGCUCAUCGCAUCCUGGCGGUAGUACGUCCCAAGGGUUGGGCUGUUCGCCCAUGAAAGCGGUACGCGAGCUGGGUUCAGAACGUCGUGAGACAGUUCGGUCCAUAUCCGGUGUAGGCGUUAGAAUAUUGAGAGGAGCCUUCUUUAGUACGAGAGGACCGAGAAGGACAUACCUCUGGUGUACCAGUUAUCGUGCCAACGGUAAACGCUGGGUAGCUAUGUAUGGAGUGGAUAGCCGCUGAAAGCAUCUAAGUGGGAAGCCCACCUCAAGAUAAG
rnacentral:rRNA from 1 species